AGGCCUUUCACCACCUCACCUCGCUCCAGCAACUGAGGUUUUGGAGAUGCGACAAGCUGCAACACCUCCCUGCAGGGCUAAACAAGCUGCAGCACCUCAAAAGAUUAGGGAUCUGGAGGUGUCCAGCCCUCCGGUCGCUGCCCAAGGAAGGCCUCCCGAGUUCACUACGAGAAUUAGAUGUCGAGGAUUGCGGUACCAAGGAGCUAACAGAGCACUGCAAGCAAUUAAGGGGAACCAUCCCAAAAGUCACACUAUAGACAAAUCCAAGCUGGUCUCUCUGUCUUUGAGUUGUACAUUCUACGAGUCUUGUGGAAUUCUCUCCAUCUAUGGACAGUUGGCGCAUGAGGGUCCUGUGUGGUAUUUUCUUCCUGUACGUAAAUCUGGUUUUCUUGUGUUAAUCCUGGUAGGCUUCUUGUAUUUUGCAUAACCAGUAGCUGCCAAAAGAGAGAUAGUCAAAGAAACAAGAGAAGGAAGAAGAGAAAGUCCCAUUUCUUCAUCAAGUCGACGGACAGAGUCACACAAGGUUGCAAAUGAAAAUUGCAGUCUCUUCAGUAUUAGUUCAGAGGAGCAGUGGAUCUGCAGAGAUUUUGCAGAGAGUGGUAGUUUCAGAACAGUGCAGUUUUGACAAAGUGUCAUUUGAGUGGUGAAAACAGUGUUAGGAUGGAACAUUGAUAGGUUGCACAGCAGCGAUGCUCUCAGUGCUUAUUUUGGCAUUGAUUUGUGAGAACAGCGGUUAAUCAGGAACCAUCCUGAAAAUCAUACUAGAGUACCAAGAUUCUCUACCUUGGGAGCUGUACAGUUUUUAGCCUUGCUGAAUCUUCCCCAUCCACACAAAGUCUGCACAUGAGGAUCUUGUGUUGUAUCUUCUUAUUGUACAUAGUACUUAAAUCUGGUGCUCUUAUGCUUGUUCUGGUUGGUUUCAAGAUACUCUGCAGUUACAUUUGGUCAUCAUUCACCAAAACUUGCUGGUGUACCUGUUCAGCUGUGAGGAUCAUAACUGGGGAAUAACUGAUAUUUUGCAGAUUUGCUAUAGAAAUUAAGGAACUUUUUACAAGAAUACCUUUCUAACCAUCUCAGUGCUUGCGUCGAGUAAACUGAGAUCUCGGGCUUUCACUAAUUGACUGAACUAAGCUUCUUGGUUGCUCAAUAGACGUGGCCUGUGGAGAACUUUGGAAUUCAACAAUGCAGUGGUAGCAAAUUGAGGAAAGGUCAGUAAACCCCUGCUGAAAUUCAUGAUGGGUUUAGCUAAGAUAGAUUGUAUUCAAUGUGUAAUUGUCGAACUCUUAUUGCCUCAUGAGACCUAGGUUAGAGAAUUCCUGCUUUCUUGAUAAGUUGGCAGCCUAGCUUUUGAGCACUCUCGUAAUCUAUGAAUGGUUGUCAUGCUGAACUAAAUAACACAAGAGAGUUUUCAGCUGAUACAUAUAGUCAUAAAGGUAGAGAACACUUGUUACUAGGUGAUUGAUGAACAUUGAUUGACCAAAAAGACUUGAGCUUGCUAAUUUUUAUUCCUAGAACCUCCUCAAUUUAGUAUGGUGAAGGUGAUUUUAUUCUCUUCUUGAUCUGGAGUAUUUUUUCUGUCCCACCAAUGCCAAAAACAGCAGGUUUCAUUAGCCUUUGAUUAUUGCAAUCUGAAUUUUUAGUGUGUAUUGUUAAGUUUGAUGUUCCUCUAGUCCGAAGUCUUUGAAAUCCAGUCACUCUUUUUGCGUAACUUAUGUCUGCUAGCCUCUUCAACACUCAGCAUUGCAUUCCUUCAUCGGGAUAUCACAAGCUCUACCGGUGUACAUAUUGAAAUCCCAGAAAAUAAACCAUUUCUUCCGUGUGUUCACACCAUACCUACCUAUCUACAUACCACAUCUCUCUCUGUCCCACAGUAGUUGAUUAUUCCAUAAGCACACUCAUCAAGUUAAAGAAGACUCAAAAGCGCUUUGUUGUCAUUGACCCUGCAAAUUUCAUCUUUAUGAAGAGCUAUAUUCGUCAAUAUUGAUGCCUCUCUCAUCUCUCACAAAAAUAAAAAAAGAAAUAAAGAAAAAGAGUGAGGGCUGCCAUUCAAAAGGUCAAAGUUUCAUUCUCAAGCAGGAAGAAAUAAUCAGCAGUGCUUCCAUAUUCAUGUGCAGAAUGCAGAAUGGUUAAUCAAACUACUACCUAUGCAAUAUUGAUAGCCUCUCAAACAUUUUUUGGCGUGAGUCCAUUCCCUCCCACAUCCCCUGGGCAGUACCUUUCUCCAAUGACUGGAACGUGAAGACUUCUUUGUACUAGAGUUGAACUCUUAUUUAGCUUUACAAUCUUGAUUUCAGAUUUGCUCAUUGUUUGAAUUACCCAACCAAGCUCCAGAUAAGCUUUCCACAAAUAUAAAGUAGAUAGAAAAAACUUCGGCCACUGGCCAGUGAGGACUAUAAUUAAGUGAUGAGAGUAAUUCCGGAUCAUGAUGAGGUAAUCUCACUAGAUACCUGCUCUUGGAAGGUUCAGAAAGGAAUAAAAUUGUUGGCUUCUCCUGUUCUCUUUUGUUCUUGAUAUUGAAGUCAAACCUCCUAGUGACUUGUGUCCAAAACUGGAUUACUAUAUUGUUGAUGCUGGUCACUCUCAAAAAAUGAAAUAUACUCCCUCCUUUCCUAAAUAAUUGUCUUUCUAGAGAUUUCAACAAGUGACUACAUACGGAGCAAAAUGAGUGAAUCUACACUUUAAAACAUGUCUACAUACAUCCGUAUGUUGUAGUCCAUUUGAGAUGGCUAGAAAGACAAAUAUUUGGGAACGGAGGGAGUAUUACCUACUGGCAAUGAAUACGAGUAGUUAUUUAAGUGUGUGCUCAACUGCUAGCUUGCUACUUUAAUAAGUUUGCAGGAAGUGCCUCGACCCGAAGUUCAUGAGGGUUUCAAUAAUUGUUUGCACAUGGGCACUUGUUUGCAAUCUAGCUAUGCUAAGCUUUCAGGUAUUUCACAAGCACAUUGGCAAGUUGAAUCAGGAGCCUCAAUCAUUUGGCCGCGAUCUGAGACUCUUUUUCUCGAGGGAAGAAUCAGAAAGGGAGAAUCCUGAGAUGAAUCAUACCUUUUUAGUUUCUCUUUGUAGCCACUUUCUCCCUAAUAAUGCUAUAA